GAUGAACGCUGGCGGCGUGCCUAAUACAUGCAAGUCGAACGAGUUCUCGUUGAUGAUCGGUGCUUGCACCGAGAUUCAACAUGGAACGAGUGGCGGACGGGUGAGUAACACGUGGGUAACCUGCCCUUAAGUGGGGGAUAACAUUUGGAAACAGAUGCUAAUACCGCAUAGAUCCAAGAACCGCAUGGUUCUUGGCUGAAAGAUGGCGUAAGCUAUCGCUUUUGGAUGGACCCGCGGCGUAUUAGCUAGUUGGUGAGGUAAUGGCUCACCAAGGCGAUGAUACGUAGCCGAACUGAGAGGUUGAUCGGCCACAUUGGGACUGAGACACGGCCCAAACUCCUACGGGAGGCAGCAGUAGGGAAUCUUCCACAAUGGACGCAAGUCUGAUGGAGCAACGCCGCGUGAGUGAAGAAGGCUUUCGGGUCGUAAAACUCUGUUGUUGGAGAAGAAUGGUCGGCAGAGUAACUGUUGUCGGCGUGACGGUAUCCAACCAGAAAGCCACGGCUAACUACGUGCCAGCAGCCGCGGUAAUACGUAGGUGGCAAGCGUUAUCCGGAUUUAUUGGGCGUAAAGCGAGCGCAGGCGGUUUUUUAAGUCUGAUGUGAAAGCCCUCGGCUUAACCGAGGAAGCGCAUCGGAAACUGGGAAACUUGAGUGCAGAAGAGGACAGUGGAACUCCAUGUGUAGCGGUGAAAUGCGUAGAUAUAUGGAAGAACACCAGUGGCGAAGGCGGCUGUCUGGUCUGUAACUGACGAUGAGGCUCGAAAGCAUGGGUAGCGAACAGGAUUAGAUACCCUGGUAGUCCAUGCCGUAAACGAUGAAUGCUAGGUGUUGGAGGGUUUCCGCCCUUCAGUGCCGCAGCUAACGCAUUAAGCAUUCCGCCUGGGGAGUACGACCGCAAGGUUGAAACUCAAAGGAAUUGACGGGGGCCCGCACAAGCGGUGGAGCAUGUGGUUUAAUUCGAAGCAACGCGAAGAACCUUACCAGGUCUUGACAUCUUUUGAUCACCUGAGAGAUCAGGUUUCCCCUUCGGGGGCAAAAUGACAGGUGGUGCAUGGUUGUCGUCAGCUCGUGUCGUGAGAUGUUGGGUUAAGUCCCGCAACGAGCGCAACCCUUAUGACUAGUUGCCAGCAUUUAGUUGGGCACUCUAGUAAGACUGCCGGUGACAAACCGGAGGAAGGUGGGGAUGACGUCAAAUCAUCAUGCCCCUUAUGACCUGGGCUACACACGUGCUACAAUGGAUGGUACAACGAGUUGCGAGACCGCGAGGUCAAGCUAAUCUCUUAAAGCCAUUCUCAGUUCGGACUGUAGGCUGCAACUCGCCUACACGAAGUCGGAAUCGCUAGUAAUCGCGGAUCAGCACGCCGCGGUGAAUACGUUCCCGGGCCUUGUACACACCGCCCGUCACACCAUGAGAGUUUGUAACACCCGAAGCCGGUGGCGUAACCCUUUUAGGGAGCGAGCCGUCUAAGGUGGGACAAAUGAUUAGGGUG
rnacentral:rRNA from 1 species